rnacentral:lncRNA from 1 species
UCUGACUUCUUGAUAUAAGCACCAUACAUGUCUAAUAAUUGAAGAUGAAGAAGACGAGGCGCCUGGUUCUGGAGAAAUAUGAUCGAUGAUUAACUUCCUUAUGUCUGAAUCGUUUCUUCUAGUAUCCUUUUAUUCUCCUAAAUAUUUUCUUCUAAUUUCCUGUUAAUCCUUUCAAAUUUUAAGAACAUUGUGAAUUGCUUAAGUUUCAAACGGUCCUCCAAUGCUCUAAUCUCUAAUCAGUGUCCUGAAGGGGUGAUUGAAUUAAUCGGUCCUCCUAAAGACCUAAUCAAGUAAGUCUUUUCUAGUGUUUGAAAUUUAUGCAUAACCUACUUGUAGUUGCUAAAAUCUGAUAGUGCUUAUUGAUUAAAAAUUUUGAAAUUUUAGUUUUCUUAUAUAGCUUAGUGGUGGAGUGAAGUAAUUGAUCAAAGUUGUAGUCUUCUUGAUCCAAAAUUGCUAUAAGAUUCAUCAAUUUUUUAGGUAACUUUGUUCUUCAAUUUCUUUUGACUUUUAUAGUUUUAUAAGGCUUUCUGCAAUAACAUUUCUUAAAUUCCUGAUGUAGUUUUUUUUUUUUAAUUUUUGAUUAAUCUGAUAUAUGUCGAAUUUUGUUUGAAAAUAUGAUAUGUAAAUUCCGAUUUUGAAAAGUUUAUAUGUGAAUUUGGUUUUGAAUUUCAAAUAUGUGAAUUUUGAUUUUAAAUAACAAAUGUGUUUUUGAUUUCUGAAUAAUCUGAUGCACAUGAAUACCUGAUGUAUCCUAAAAUCUGAUAAGUUAUUUUAAUCUCUAAAAUUUUGUUGUAUCAGAUUUCUGAAAAUCUAAUGUAUCAUAUUUUUGAAAAAUCUGAUAUGUAAAUUCUUAAAUUGAAAUUAUGAUAUUGAAAAGAGAUGUGUUCUUGAUUUAUGUUUAAUAUGAUGUGGUAUUUUGGAAUAAUCCAAUUAGUUAUUUUAAUUUCUGAAAAUCUGAUGUAUCAAAUUUCUAAAAUUAUCAUUUCAAUUUAAGUUUUGAAAUUAUGAAAUGUUAAUUCCGAAUUUCUGAUACCAUUUUAUGAUUUUGUUUAGGUUGUCAGAUUGAGAUUAUGGAUAGCCAACUUCAGCUUGUAUCAUUCUUUGGUUUUACUAUAUCUUUGUUUAGGUUGUCAGAUUGAGAUUAUGCAAAUGAAAUGGACAUGUAUCCCAAUAUGUUGGUAGCAUAUAAUCUAUUUUUGUUGGUACCAGUCAUAGUUGCUUCAGCAAAAAGAAAUUUUUUUCGCACUUAAAGUUAUUAAAAUUAUAUCUUUGAAGGACUAUCACCCAAUAAAGAUUAAACGGAUUAGCAAUUAUGAGUAUGAAAAAUCAAUUUCUGCUAAGUCUUGAUUAUCAUAAAAUAAGAUAUGGUUUUGCUUCAAAAAAUGCAUAGAGGCAUUGUUUUAGAUAAGUAUUUGUAUGUUUUUGUUUGUAUAACCUUGAUUUAGUUUGUGUAUAAAAUUUAUUUCACUUUUUCUAUAUAUGUAAUUUUUUUAAUAUAUAAGGGCAUUAAUAUAGUAUCUUGCCCCGGGCAUUGAAAAUCAAUGGACCGGCCCUGCUUCUAAUAGAAUUCUAGUCAACUGUAUCAUUUAGACUUCUAAUAGAAUUCUAGUCAACCGGUGAUUGUUUGAGAUUUUAAGAAAUCAUUUAUACCCAUUUUCCCAUAUACUUUUAAUAUUAAUUAAUUUUAUUUGUGUAAGGAUUAUAUAGAAAACUCAAGAAUUUCAUGUAAGGAGAAAUCACAUUUAUUAUACAUGAUUAAUUUGGAUCAUUUGAAGUCGUAUAAGACAGUAUAUACAUAUAUAUAUAUAUAUAUAGAGAGAGAGAGAGAGAGAGAUAGGUUCAAGUAUUUAAAGUAAUUAUUGUGUUAUUGUAUGCAUAAAUAUGGGCCAAUUAAAAUUUAAAAUAUAAAUAAAUAAUUAAAUAAAUAAAAAAUGGUAAUUAGGUAAUUUUAUAAACAACUUCCCCAAAUAUUUUUCUAUAAUUAUGCUAGUUGAUUUUAACCUAAUUUAUCUCCUUUUAAUUACCACCGACAUCACUUUGAAAAACCCUCCGUAGGAUUCGAUCGAAAGUGAACAAGAUCGACUUCGUCUUCGUCUUCAUCUGAUCAGAAAGGAAAGACGAACAGAAGCAGGUAGCGACUAGGUGAUCAGUGGUGGCUACUGUCAAUAGCGGUAGAGUAUCGUCAUCGUCUUCGCCGAUUGAAAAUCUCGCCAUCUUAAUCACACUUUCAACUCUCCUACUGGGGAUCCAUCAUUUAUCUGAUUUUUCACACGCAACCGUAUUAUUUUACACUUCCGAUUUAACCCUAUCAGAGGAGAGUGGAUUCUCGGCCUCGCUUAUAAAAAUUGAUUGAAUCGGAUUGGUUCCAGUCGACAGGCAGUGAGAGUGGAAGAAUUGCUUGAGGAUCAAUGUUUUGUGAUUUUGAGAAGUUAGUCGGUGGAGGAAAUAUGAAGCAGGGCAGGCGGAGGCAAUUAAUUGGAGGAAAAUAGCGGCCGGUCGGAGGAGUGCCACGUAAAACGGCUUGAAACUGCCGCCGACUCAAUAUCAGGUACUAUAUAUNNNNNNNNNNNNNNNNNNNNNNNNNNNNNNNUAUAUAUAUAUAUAUAUAUAUAUAUAAAUUUUACAUUAGCAAAUCAAAAAUGAUUUUGGAUAAUGGAAGCUAGCAGUAAACUGUUUUAUAAGUAAAAAAAAUGGUGAAUGAAUCGUUAUACAGAUCAAGAAGAGAUAAGCAUAAAGCAAGUGAAGCACUAGAAACCUGAUUAUUCAACUUAGAUAAAGCACUAGAAACUAGUUAUUGUUGGUUCAUUUUUUGUUUCUUUUUCGUUGUUGGUUGCUAUGGUUUUAUGUGGCAGAUAAUUUUGUCAGUUGGUAUGUAGUGUAUUCAAUGGAUGAUAUUUGUGAGAUUCCAAUUUUAUUGGAAUGGAAUCAUGAAUUUCAAUUCUGUUGGAAUGGAAUCAUGAACUCUAAUUCUGUUGGAAUGAAGUAUGGAUAUUUUCUCACUGAUUUAUGUAUGUUCUACAAUUUUUGGUUAUUGAUUUUGGUGCAAUUCACAAGUCCACAUGUUUUUCCAAAGGAAUUUAGUUUUUUAUUUUUCAUUUGCUAAUGCAUUAUUGGAAUUUAAACUACAAUUUGGUUUUGUUUUCACAGAAAUUGAUGCUUAGAACGGACCACAAAAUUGAAAGUGAUUCUAAGCAACAUUAUUAUUUUAGAAUGUAUUAGUGUCAUUGUUAGAUUUUGAUGUUUUCUUUCCCGUUUUGAAAGUUUUUUCUGUUUUAUUCUUUAACAAUAAAUAUAAUUCUUAACAAUUG